AAAAAAAAAAAAAAAAAAAAAAAAACAUAAAGUACAAAGGUGAAAGUAAAGGACAAUUACAAGGGUGAAAGGGAAGGACACGAGUUCGAUAAACUAAGAAAAUGUUCGUGCUUGUUUUGUUCUUGUUGCCAUGUUUAAAAGUCGUCAGUGCAGAUUCUCACUCACUAAUGACUUUUGCAACAUAUAUAGCUGGACAAACACCAUUUCCUGAGUUCAGUGCUGUGCUGAUGUUGGAUGAUGUGCAAAUAGCAUAUUAUGACUCAAACACAUGGAAACUUGUAUAUCGCUCUCACAGUGAAUCAAAAUACUAUGUUGAAGAGCAAAGCGAUGCUAAAACUGUAUUUCGUGCUUUAUAUAAUUACCUGCAAGGUUUGGAAUCCCAUUAUAAUGAUCACUUCAAUCACUCAGGUGUACGUGUUACUCAGAGACUUGCUGGAUGUGAAUUGUUGAACAAUGAUAAACCUGGUCCACUUCAUAUGUGGGAUGGUUUUGGUGGACAAAAUGCUGGGGAGUUCACCUUUGACAUUGAAAAAAAGGCAGUCCAGAAUAAACUGCUAUCAAAAACAUGGGACCAAGCAACACAGCUUCAUGUAAAGUUCAUGCAUCAAAAUGUUUAUCAUCCUAUUUGCAUUAAAACCUUGCGGAGGUUUUUGAACAAGGAAAAGAACAAUGUGAUGAGAAAAGUGAAACCCAGAGUCAGACUCAUGAGGAAGAUGCUCCCAGACUCUCAAGGGCUUCAGAUCAGCUGUCUGGCCACUGGUUUUUACCCCCGUCACAUUAACCUGACCCUGUUCAGAGACGGUCAGCCUGUGGAUGAUGAUCAGAUCACAGGAGGAGAGAUUCUGCCCAACGGAGAUGGAACUUACCAGAUGAGGAAGAGUUUGGUGAUCAGUAAAGAAAAGCUACGUCAAGAACAUAAAUACAACUGCACAAUGAAGCACCUCAAUCUGGACAACAAACUGGACAUUACAUUUGAUGUGGAUGAAUCUGACCCAGGAUCCUUCAUUCUGCCUGUAGUGAUCAGUGUGCUGCUGCUGCUGGUGUUCAUGUGUGGGGCUGUUCUCAUUAUAACGGCACUCAUCAUAUGGAAGAAGAGACGAGCUACAGGACGAGGAUCUGAGACAACACAGAGUGAUUAUUCACUUGCUUCAUCUUCUGCCCCUGAUGAAAAGUGAAGCAAGUCAAGACAAUAAAUAUGAAACAGCAUUUGAUUGGUGCAUUACACUUGAUGGAUUUAAUGACCAAGCGAAAUUAGAGUAAAAUUAUAAAUGAAAGUAAUAUAGAUAUGCAACCAUAACAGAUAAUAUACAGUAUGUAAAAAUAAGCUUGUGUGACCUGAAAUCAUAAUAUUGUUAAAGAACAUAAUUUUAUUACUAGUACAUGCUGAUUUGUUUAAUUAUUGUGUUAUAUUUCUGUAUUCUAUACAUGCAUAAAAAUAACAACAAUUAUGUAUGUGUGUGUUGGUCUAAAAAAAAGAAGUUUCCUGGUUGCCUUAAAAUUUUUAUUAAUUGAAACUAAGAAUUUAAGUUGAUUUUGUUGUUUCAACUAAUAUUUUGUUCUUAGAAUCAAAGGUUAUUUGUUAACUUAGUGUUGAUCCACUUAUUCAAGCAAUCAACAUGAUUAAGUACACUUUCAAAUUUAAAUUCACUCAACUGCAUAGUUUGUUAUAAAAAUUACCUAAAGUUCAAUAAACUUUAACACAAUGACAAAAGCUUUUUGUUAACUACUGUAAUCAUCCUGCCAUAUCAGUGAGCACAUAUACACUUAAGUUAAACCUUCAUAUUUAUUACAACAUUACUGCCUGGUCUCAUUGUUAAUAUGUAGGUAUUUGUACAUAAUGUUUACAGGCACAAACCAUACAUUUUUGUAUGUUUUUAUUGAUGCUGAAUCGUACUAUUUGAAAAUUAAAAAAUCGCAGUGGAACUA